CCUACGGGUGGCAGCAGUGGGGAAUAUUGCGCAAUGGGGGAAACCCUGAUGCAGCGACGCCGCGUGAGUGAAGAAGUAAUUCGUUAUGUAAAGCUCUAUCAGCAGGGAAGAAAAUGACGGUACCUGAGUAAGAAGCCCCGGCUAACGCCGGGCUAGCAGCCGCGGUAAUACGUAGGGCGCGAGCGUUAUUCGGAGUGACUGGGUGUAAAGGUAACGUAGGCGGCAGUGCAAGUCAGGAGUGAAAGGCGAGGGCUCAACCUUCGGAAGGCUAGGGAAACUUUACGACUGGAGUGCAGGAGAGGAAAGCAGAAUUCCUAGUGUAGCGGUGAAAUGCGUAGAUAUUAGGAGGAACACCGGUAGCGAAGGCGGCAAACUGGCCGGUAACUGACGUUGAGGUGCGAAAGCGUGGGGAGCAAACAGGAUUAGAUACCCCAGUAGUC
rnacentral:rRNA from 1 species